rnacentral:rRNA from 1 species
UACGGAGGGUGCGAGCGUUAAUCGGAAUUACUGGGCGUAAAGGGCACGCAGGCGGUCUUUUAAGUGAGGUGUGAAAGCCCCGGGCUUAACCUGGGAAUUGCAUUUCAUACUGGGAGGCUAGAGUGUUGUAGGGGGGGGUAGAAUUCCACGUGUAGCGGUGAAAUGCGUAGAGAUGUGGAGGAAUACCGAAGGCGAAGGCGGCCCCCUGGGCAUGUACUGACGCUCAGGUGCGAAAGCGUGGGGAGCAAACAGG